rnacentral:rRNA from 1 species
AUGAACGCUGGCGGCGUGCCUAAUACCUGCAAGUCGCGCGAACAGACGAGGAGCUUGCUCCUUUGACGUUAGCGGCGGACGGGUGAGUAACACGUGGGUAACCUACCUAUAAGACUGGGAUAACUUCGGGAAACCGGAGCUAAUACCGGAUAAUAUUUCGAACCGCAUGGUUCGAUAGUGAAAGAUGGCUUUGCUAUCACUUAUAGAUGGACCUGCGCCGUAUUAGCUAGUUGGUAAGGUAACGGCUUACCAAGGCAACGAUACGUAGCCGACCUGAGAGGGUGAUCGGCCACACUGGAACUGAGACACGGUCCAGACUCCUAAGGGAGGCAGCAGUAGGGAAUCUUCCGCAAUGGGCGAAAGCCUGACGGAGCAACGCCGCGUGAGUGAUGAAGGUCUUCGGAUCGUAAAACUCUGUUAUUAGGGAAGAACAAACGUGUAAGUAACUGUGCACGUCUUGACGGUACCUAAUCAGAAAGCCACGGCUAACUACGUG